CCUACGGGGGGCAGCAGUGGGGAAUAUUGGACAAUGGGCGAAAGCCUGAUCCAGCCAUGCCGCGUGUGUGAAGAAGGCCUUCGGGUUGUAAAGCACUUUCAGUGGGGAAGAAAGCCUUGGGGCUAAUACCCUCGAGGAAGGACAUCACCCACAGAAGAAGCACCGGCUAACUCCGUGCCAGCAGCCGCGGUAAUACGGAGGGUGCGAGCGUUAAUCGGAAUUACUGGGCGUAAAGCGCGCGUAGGCGGUCUGAUAAGCCGGUUGUGAAAGCCCCGGGCUCAACCUGGGAACGGCAUCCGGAACGGGCAGGCUAGAGUGCAGGAGAGGAAGGUAGAAUUCCCGGUGUAGCGGUGAAAUGCGUAGAGAUCGGGAGGAAUACCAGUGGCGAAGGCGGCCUUCUGGACUGACACUGACGCUGAGGUGCGAAAGCGUGGGUAGCAAACAGGAUUAGAUACCCGAGUAGUC
rnacentral:rRNA from 1 species